rnacentral:tRNA from 1 species
GGUGGCUCAGGGUAGAGCACUUGCCUUGCAAGCAUGAGGCCCUGGGUUCGAUUCCUCAGCACCA